AAUUGAAUAGUCGCGUAUAGCAAUACUGAAAAGUAGCGUACGAGGAAAGUCCGGGCUCCAAAGAGCAAUGAUGCUGGAUAACGUCCAGUGAGGGAAACCUUAAGGAAAGUGCAACAGAAAAUAACCGCCUAUUUAUAGGCAAGGGUGAAAAGGUAGGGUAAGAGCUUACCGCUGAUAUGGUGACAUAUUGGGUCAAUGUAAACCCCAUCAGGAGCAACACCGAGACAAGAAGGCUAAGACUGCUCGUCAUCUUCUUAAUUUGGUGGCAUGAGAUAUAUAGCAAUAUAUAUACUAGAUAAAUGACUAUUCUAGACAGAACCCGGCUUACAGAUUUACUUA
rnacentral:RNase_P_RNA from 1 species